UCUCCGUAGGUGAACCUGCGGAGGGAUCAUUACAGAGUUCUCGCCCUUACGGUUAGAUCUCCCACACACUGUUAUCGUUACUGUCGUUUCUUUGGCGCGCCGCGGGGUCCCCCGGCCGACGGGGUCUAAUAGGCGGCGCGCGCCCGCCAGAGGCCUUCAAACUCUGAACGUUAGUGUUGUCUGAGUACUAUAUAAAAGUUAAAACUUUCAACAACGGAUCCCUUGGUUCUG
rnacentral:misc_RNA from 1 species